UAGGGAAUCUUCCGCAAUGGGCGAAAGCCUGACGGAGCAACGCCGCGUGAGUGAUGAAGGUCUUCGGAUCGUAAAACUCUGUUAUUAGGGAAGAACAAAUGUGUAAGUAACUAUGCACGUCUUGACGGUACCUAAUCAGAAAGCCACGGCUAACUACGUGCCAGCAGCCGCGGUAAUACGUAGGUGGCAAGCGUUAUCCGGAAUUAUUGGGCGUAAAGCGCGCGUAGGCGGUUUUUUAAGUCUGAUGUGAAAGCCCACGGCUCAACCGUGGAGGGUCAUUGGAAACUGGUUGACUUGAGUGCAGAAGAGGAGAGUGGAAUUCCAUGUGUAGCGAUGAAAUGCGUAGAUAUAUGGAGGAACACCAGUGGCGAAGGCGACUCUCUGGUCUGUAACUGACGCUGAGGCUCGAAAGCGUGGGUAGCAAACAGG
rnacentral:rRNA from 1 species